rnacentral:rRNA from 1 species
GACGAACGCUGGCGGCGUGCCUAAUACAUGCAAGUUGAGCGAUGAAGAUUGGUGCUUGCACCAAUUUGCAGAGCAGCGAACGGGUGAGUAACGCGUGGGGAAUCUGCCUUUGAGCGGGGGACAACAUUUGGAAACGAAUGCUAAUACCGCAUAACAACUUUAAACAUAAGUUUUAAGUUUGAAAGAUGCAAUUGCAUCACUCAAAGAUGAUCCCGCGUUGUAUUAGCUAGUUGGUGAGGUAAAGGCUCACCAAGGCGAUGAUACAUAGCCGACCUGAGAGGGUGAUCGGCCACAUUGGGACUGAGACACGGCCCAAACGCCUACGGGAGGCAGCAGUAGGGAAUCUUCGGCAAUGGACGAAAGUCUGACCGAGCAACGCCGCGUGAGUGAAGAAGGUUGUCGGAUCGUAAAACUCUGUUGGUAGAGAAGAACGUUGGUGAGAGUGGAAAGCUCAUCAAGUGACGGUAACUACCCAGAAAGGGACGGCUAACUACGUG